rnacentral:rRNA from 1 species
GACGAACGCUGGCGGCGUGCUUAACACAUGCAAGUCGAGCGGUAAGGCCCUUUCGGGGGUACACGAGCGGCGAACGGGUGAGUAACACGUGGGUGACCUGCCCUCAGCUCUGGGAUAAGCCUGGGAAACUGGGUCUAAUACUGGAUAUGACUCCACGGUGCAUGUCGUGGGGUGGAAAGCCUUGUGCGGCUGAGGAUGGGCCCGCGGCCUAUCAGCUUGUUGGGUGGGGUGAUGGCCUACCAAGGCGACGACGGGUAGCCGGCCUGAGAGGGCGACCGGCCACACUGGGACUGAGACACGGCCCAGACUCCUACGGGAGGCAGCAGUGGGGAAUCUUGCGCAAUGGGCGAAAGCCUGACGCAGCGACGCCGCGUGAGGGAUGACGGCCU